GGUGGGGUUCCCGAGCGGCCAAAGGGAGCAGACUGUAAAUCUGCCGUCAUCGACUUCGAAGGUUCGAAUCCUUCCCCC
rnacentral:tRNA from 1 species